AAGAAAAAAGAAAAAAGCGGCUACUUAGGGCGCUUCCCGAUGUUAGCGGUAGAAAAGAAAAUUUCCCCAUUCUCCUUCUCGGAUUCUUGCUUCCCCGUUUCUCAUUCUCACCUCCAUCAACGCAUUACUUGCAAUCUCCACCUCAACCUCUAUUGUGACCAUUUGCCUCUCCUUACCCUUGAUGCUCCUCUCCAUCUCCCUUUAUUUUCGAGACCCACCACUACAGGAAACCAUUCUUCUCUUUAUCUUCUUCUCCCUGUUCUUCUUCUUCAAGGGUUUAGUCUAUUCAGCACAAUGGACGGCAUUUCUCUCUUUGUUGUAGAAUUUUUUGCUCCCAAAGGCUACUGUUGACCAACAAGGCAUUUUAUUAUGAUGGGAAAGCUAUAAUGUCCAAAUGAAGAAUUUGAUAAUCUAAAGGAAGAAUUAAUGUGGGAAGGAAGCAGUGUUGUUAUGCUAAGAAUGGACUGACUUCUAGUGUCUAAACAAAUUAUAUGAAUUUCUGGCAUUCGUCAAUUGUUGAAUUAUAAGAUCUAACUUCCAUCAUCUUCUGUGGUAUUUUUAUAACAACACUAUAGGUUCUGAUGAGCAGAAGUUUUCAGAAGCCUCAAUGACUUAUGUAUUCGGGAAACCCAUUUUGAGUGAUGAAGAGUCGGAUAACUUAAAGCUAAAAUUAAAGGAUCGAACCAGGGAGACCGUAGAGGCCUUCAGUGAGCCAGCUACAUCUUUGUCCGUCGAGUGUUAGCCAGAGCCCUUGAGCAGGUUAUGUUAUGACGGAUACGGAAGACUAGGGCUGCCCAUUCUACGCGCCCUGAUACUAUGUAAGAGAAAGACUAGGGCUACUCAUUCUACGCCCGUGGCAUUUAUGGAUAUGCUAUGUUAUGUUUAAGAGGAAGUUCUGAGGAGCUCCGUCGAGGGCCGGACACUAAUUGGAAUAUGUAGGGGGUUACUGAAAACAGAAUGCGAGGUUCACGUCGAUCUGCACGAUUGACAGGAGUUCCACCUGAGAAUGAGGGCAUGGAUGCCCUACCCCCUGCUCUGCCAAGAGCACGGUCAAGUAGAACCAACAGAGGAGAAACAUCAAGGGACUCUAGAAGGUCUUUUGAUGUAAACAGGAGGAGAACAGAUCCGGGUAGGAUGUCUGCUGAUGUGAGGGAAUCAGUUGAGGAUGAUCAGAGGAGAGAUGGAAGUUUGGGUGUCAGUAUGUCAGAAGAGGGUAUGGGAGAAUCACAAGGAGGCGCUCAGGCCUCGAGUUUUGCUUACCCACCACAGUACCAACCCUACCCACAGGGACUAGG